ensembl:lncRNA
GUCUCUGUUAGAGAACUGACUAGGAAAAGAUGCCCCAUUCAAAAGGGUUUAACUGGAGAGAGUUUUAGGAAAGGCCUAUUCACAGAGGAGUAGGCAAGUUAAGGGAAUUGACAAGAAAUGGUGAAGAAGGAAGAAUAUAGGAAGGUGAGAAACUAUCACCACCAUCAGCCAGAAGAGGCAGGGGAGAGAAUGAGGUCACUGGAGCCCAAGUGAAGAGCUAGAACCAUGAGAGGAGCAUAACCUGCUGUGCUAGUGAGCUUUUUGUUGCUGUGACCAAAUACUGAGAAAAAUAACUUAGAGAAGAAGGAUUUAUUUUUGGUCACAGUUUCAGAGGUUUCAGUCAACAAUCACCUGAUCAUUGGUGUGGGCCUGAGGUGAGGCAGAACGUCAUGGUGGAAGGACAUGACAGAGGACAGCUGCUCACCUCAGAGCAGCUGCCAAACAGAGACAAAGAGAAUGAGCCAGAGAAAAAACAGCCAGGGCCAAGAUAUAGUCCCCAAUAGUCCAUCAUUCACUCCCUUUAACCAGGCCUCACAUCCAAAGUUUCCUUACCUCCCAAUAAUGUCGUUAAUUAUGAUCUCAUCAAUGGAUUAAUCCACUAAUGAAGCCCUCAUGUUCUAAGCACCUACCAAAGAGCUCACCUCUGAAGAUAUGAGAUUUGGGGGGCACAAUUUAGAUCUAAACUGUAACAUACACCAAAAGCUGUCGCCACAGGAGAAGCCAGUCAUUGCCAGAACUGUGGUAAAUCAGAGAGGAUUAAGGGGGAAUACAUCCAUCAAACUCUCCAGUAUUUGGCUAGGGCCUUUCAUUGACUUAAAGCAAUUUGCAGCUGUUUGACUUUCACAAUAGGGAAAAAAAUGAGUUGUCAGGAUAAAGAAGAUAGUAUAAUGACCAUGACCACCCCACAUCGCCUUUCUUUCAUCACCCUGCCCUCACCUGCUCACAUCUUCAACAUUCUCACCCUUGCCCUACUGGCCUUGCAAAACCUAACUCUGCCUUCUCUAUACUUGCAGGAGGGUAUGACUGUAGAAAAUUCUGUGCUCUGUUUACUUGAGAUUUCUGUCCAAAAAUCUCAAGUGAGCCCACUGUCUGAUUACAUUCCUCUAAUCACCCUCUGUGACAGCUGACUGAUUGUAUCAACUUGAGUAAGAAAUGCCCAACUAAAUUGGCUCAGCAUAGUUCUGGGUGUGGAAGACUCACCCGAAAUUGGAUUGUCACCAGAAUGUUGUUAAAGGGAAAUGAAGAAGGAAGGAUCGCUUCUGUUUCCUUCAGAAGUGCGCCAGUCUUCACUUUGACCUUAGAUGCUGUCUCCUGGCUUCCAGAGCAGACCCUUCAGCCUCCAGCAUGGACCCUUCGGCCUCCUGAUAUGGACUUGCACUUGCCUUCGACUGCAUCCUUCAGAUUCCCAGUGCGCAGAUGGACCUUUUGCACUCUUCCACAUUCGACUCUGUGGGCAGCCAUUGGAAGCCAAUUUUGCCACUGUUGGGUGAGCAGCUUUGCUCCACAAGCUCCCCACCAUGAUGUUCUGCCUUGCUACAGGCCCACAGCUAUGGGGUAAACAUCCAUGGACUAAAACCUUAAAACCAUGAGCC